rnacentral:rRNA from 1 species
ACGGAAGGCAGCAGUCGGGAAUAUUGCGCAAUGGAGGAGACUCUGACGCAGUGACGCCGCGUAUAGGAAGAAGGUUUUCGGAUUGUAAACUAUUGUCGUUAGGGAAGAAUAAAGACAGUACCUAAGGAGGAAGCUCCGGCUAACUAUGUGCCAGCAGCCGCGGUAAUACAUAGGGAGCAAGCGUUAUCCGGAAUUAUUGGGUGUAAAGGGUGCGUAGACGGAGGAGCAAGUUAGUUGUGAAAUCCCUCGGCUUAACUGAGGAACUGCAACUAAAACUACUUCCCUUGAGUGUCGGAGAGGAAAGUGGAAUUCCUAGUGUAGCGGUGAAAUGCGUAGAUAUUAGGAGGAACACCAGUGGCGAAGGCGACUUUCUGGACGAUAACUGACGUUGAGGCACGAAAGUGUGGGGAGCAAACAGGAUUAGAUACCCUGGUA